CUAGACUUCUGAAAGGGAAACCAGUGCACCAGGGUUUCCAGUGCUGUGAUAUGUGACUUAGGAGGAGCAGUUUGCUAAGGUAAAUUAUCCCAAAUGGACUGCUUUAGGAUGUCAGACACUAGCAUUUGUGCUGGCUGUCUAGAUGGGGUGUUAAGAUACCCCUCAAGUCUUCUUCCACCCCCUGCAUGGAGCACAAGCCCUUUCAAGAUUCAGGGCUGAAGACUCAGACUGAACUGUCUAUAAGGCUUUCUACAAGCACGUGAUAUUGCCCAGAAUGCCUUUUGCAUAUCCAGCCCAUCUGCAGUGCAGUUUGCUGCUGAGAGAGGGACAGAACAUAUGGCACUGACCUCAGAUGUGGGCUCCAAUACAGAAGCCAUCUACUCUGAACAUUAAUAACGAAUUUCAGUGACUGGCCUGGCUGGGAACCAGUGCACACCCAACCUCUGCAUGCACGGAGCUCUUGGCACACAGUGAGACAGAAGAAAGAUGGGAGAUAACAUAAGGAUCAGGGUCUCUAAACCAACUGCACUACUCAUGCCGCUGCCAUUAAGGGCCUGUCAGCAUUUUUAUUAGAAACCGCUACUCCAGGGGUUUAUAACUCAGCAGUAAAAAUU
rnacentral:lncRNA from 1 species